AACAUCCAAGAUGGCGGCGCAAAAUAAAUUGCUGGCUGAGGCAAUUUUAGAGGACAAACUUGUCGUGAUAAUGCUGUUCCAAUAACUUGUCUACAAGAUAUGUUCUCAACGGGCUUGUAGCAAGCUUGUUAACAAGUUGUGUCAAUGCUGUUCCAAAAGCAAGCUUGUAGACAAGUUGUUGGAACAGCAUUAUCACGACAAGUUUGUCUUCUAAAAUUGCCUCAACCAGCAAUUUAUUUUGCGCCGCCAUCUUGGAUGUUUACUUUCGUAUACUACGCAUGCGCUGUUACGACAAUCCGUCAGCAGAUAGCUUUCGUUCGCCGCACACGGAAAGAUUUUGGCACGCGAGGCAGAAAUUAUCAAACAUGUUAGAUAUUUGGCGUAAGUGGCACGAAUGACAAAAGUCGUUCGUAAAUCGCCCGCACACGAGAGC